UCUUACACAGGUCCUUGCGCUUUGCACCAUGUGUGCUUAACCCGCUGCGCUACCGCCUGACUCACAGUGUUUAUGGUUUUUAAAACUGUUUAGUGUGUAGAUAAAUAUAGACCAGUUAGGUGCAGUGUUCACAAUCACAGAUAUAUAAAGUUUUCACUAGGAAAUAAAGAGGGCAGGAUGUUCUUUCUUCAGUUGAGGAUUAUGUGCUCAUCAGUGGUCAGGGCUAGGGGAAUGUUGUUGCUUAUGAGAUAUAAAAUCAUUGUUACAAUGGAAUACUACUCAGCUAUAAAAAAUGGUGACUUCACCAUUUUCAGCCUAUCUUGGAUGGACCUUGAAAAAUUCAUGUUAAGUGAAAUAAGCCAGAAGCAGAAGGAUGAAUAUGGGAUGAUCUCACUCUCAGUCAGAAGUUGAAAAAAAAGAUCAAAAGAGAAAACACAUGUAGAACCUGAACUGGAGUUGGUGUAUUGCACCAAAGUAAAAGACUCUGGGGUGGGGUGGGUGGGGAGAAUACAGGUCCAAGAAGGCUGACAGAGGACCUAGUGGGGGUUGUGUUGUUAUAUGGAAAACUGGGAAAUGUGAUGCAUGUACAAACUAUUGUAUAUACUGUGGAAUGUAAAAUAUUAAUUGCCCAAUAAAGAGAUUUUUAAUUUUUUUUUAAAUCAGUGUUAUCUCCAAUGACUUAACUAGUUCAAGGAUUCAAAUGCAAGGAGAGCAUUGCAGAUCAUAGCAAGCUUUUAUUUUUUAAGAUUUUCUAUUAGCGAUUUAAUAACGAUUGACGGGAUUGUAAAAUAACAGUGGUACAACUUUUUUUUAUCCUCUCAUGGGCUCUGUACUACUGAGAAUGGACACACCCCAGCUGGGCUCGGCCGUGACUUCACCACAGAGAACCGUGGAGAUCAGCGUGAGUGAUAGUUGGAGGCACCUCGGAUGGUUAAACCCUCUCUCAAUCAUGAAGAUACUUCGCCUUCUUAUAGGACUGGAACCCAUUAGGCUACAGUCGGCCUCAGCUACCCUGCUUCAGUCUCUGGUUCCUGAUGAAGAUGGUGGCAUGUGAAGUCCCCGGUACGUAAGGGAGGAAGCCCUGGUGCGGCUGCAUGAGGCAAGGCCCCUUCUGUCCCCCUGACCACCGACGGGGGAGACCCCAGCUCACUGGAGUUUGUCAAAGAAUCAAUCAACUCUGCAAGUAAUCUGUGAAUUCAGCAGUUUUGUGUAGGUAGAUGUGCUUCAACUGAACAAUAUAUACCCUUGUUUCUAUUGAUUCCACCCUGUUUUCCUCAGGUGUUACCUCGGGGUCUGUCCAUGUCCCCUUAUGCUAUUCUUCUUAAAUCAUAAAAAUAUUUCAUGAAUUUGCCUCUGGUUUGUAAUUUUGAC